GACGAACGCUGGCGGCGUGCUUAACACAUGCAAGUCGAACGGAAAGGCCCUGCUUUUGUGGGGUGCUCGAGUGGCGAACGGGUGAGUAACACGUGAGUAACCUGCCCUUGACUUUGGGAUAACUUCAGGAAACUGGGGCUAAUACCGGAUAGGAGCUCCUGCUGCAUGGUGGGGGUUGGAAAGUUUCGGCGGUUGGGGAUGGACUCGCGGCUUAUCAGCUUGUUGGUGGGGUAGUGGCUUACCAAGGCUUUGACGGGUAGCCGGCCUGAGAGGGUGACCGGCCACAUUGGGACUGGGAUACGGCCCAGACUCCUACGGGAGGCAGCAGGGGGGAAUAUUGCACAAUGGGCGAAAGCCUGAUGCAGCAACGCCGCGGGCGGGAUGACGGCCUUCGGGUUGUAAACCGCUUUCGCCUGUGACGAAGCGUGAGUGACGGUAAUGGGUAAAGAAGCACCGGCUAACUACGU
rnacentral:rRNA from 1 species